ACAAAACAAGCGGUGAGUGCUUUGGGGUGGGGUGACUGCGUACCUUUUGUAUAAUGGGUCAGCGACUUAUAUUCUGUAGCAAGGUUAACCGUAUAGGGGAGCCGAAGGGAAACCGAGUCUUAACUGGGCGUUAAGUUGCAGGGUAUAGACCCGAAACCCGGUGAUCUAGCCAUGGGCAGGUUGAAGGUUGGGUAACACUAACUGGAGGACCGAACCGACUAAUGUUGAAAAAUUAGCGGAUGACCUGUGGCUGGGGGUGAAAGGCCAAUCAAACCGGGAGAUAGCUGGUUCUCCCCGAAAGCUAUUUAGGUAGCGCCUCGUGAACUCAUCUUCGGGGGUAGAGCACUGUUUCGGCUAGGGGGUCAUCCCGACUUACCAACCCGAUGCAAACUGCGAAUACCGAAGAAUGUUAUCACGGGAGACACACGGCGGGUGCUAACGUCCGUCGUGAAGAGGGAAACAACCCAGACCGCCAGCUAAGGUCCCAAAGUCACAGUUAAGUGGGAAACGAUGUGGGAAGGCUCAGACAGCCAGGAUGUUGGCUUAGAAGCAGCCAUCAUUUAAAGAAAGCGUAAUAGCUCACUGGUCGAGUCGGCCUGCGCGGAAGAUGUAACGGGGCUAAACUGUGCACCGAAGCUGCGGCAGCGACGCUUAUGCGUUGUUGGGUAGGGGAGCGUUCUGUAAGCCUGCGAAGGUGUCCUGUGAGGGAUGCUGGAGGUAUCAGAAGUGCGAAUGCUGACAUAAGUAACGAUAA
rnacentral:rRNA from 1 species